CUUACAGGAUGAACCAAAUUUGCAAGAACAUCAUGACCUGACCUAGAUGGACAACUGCAAGAACGAAGGAUUCUGACCCCAAGAAGUUUCCAACCACCAGCCACACCCCCUACCUUUUUAGUAUAAAAGGAGCCUGAAUUCUGACUUGG